rnacentral:antisense_RNA from 1 species
UUUAAGUUCUGUUUUAUUGAGAACCACAAAAGGUAAGAACUGAGAGAGUCCUCCCAGGUCAUCAGGUCCCAUCCCUUGGUCUAAGGAUGGCGAAACCAUUGUCACAGCCAGCAGCUGCCGUGUCCUGGGACUGUCUCAUGGGGCGAUGUGUCCUGAGCCCCAGCAGUGCCAGCCCAGGUCAGAAGGCUUCAUUCAGAAGGGGGGUGUCCCAGCCACUGUCUGCUGUCACUCACAGCACCUGGCUGAGCCCCCAUGGAGGAUGGAGACCCACAGAUACACACACACACACACACACACACAGAGACAUCUCCAAAUCUCUGACUCAGACUCACACACAGGCACACACAGACGCACGCUCAACACAGACACACGCAGGCCUUUAUUCUAUUACACAGAGUAGGGCUGGGGAGCAGGGACGGAGUGCGGCUCGGAGCAGUGGGAGUUUGGUGGCGUGUGUGGAGGGGACAUGACGCACUCAGCCCAGCAG